UACGAAGGGGGCUAGCGUUGCUCGGAAUUACUGGGCGUAAAGGGCGCGUAGGCGGCGCAGUUAGUCAGGCGUGAAAUUCCUGGGCUCAACCUGGGGACUGCGCUUGAUACGGCUGUGCUAGAGGAUGGAAGAGGCUCGCGGAAUUCCCAGUGUAGAGGUGAAAUUCGUAGAUAUUCGCAAGAACACCAGUGGCGAAGGCGGCUCACUGGCCCGGUACUGACGCUGAGGUGCGAAAGCGUGGGGAGCAAACAGG
rnacentral:rRNA from 1 species